rnacentral:misc_RNA from 1 species
AAAAAAAAAAAAAAAAAAAUUGUGGAGGUCACUGGCAGUGUGUGGCAGCCAACAGCAAGCAUCUGCAGUGGUCAAAGUACUACUGGCUGCGAAAUGAGGUUGUAUUGUGAGUUUUUUUUUUCUUUUCGCGAGUUUGUAAGGAACCCACAAAAUGACUUUGACAUUUGAAAAUAGAAAUUUUCCUUCAAAAUGGUGCAGUUUACCCCUUCCACAAAUAAAAUAUUUUCUAUUAACAAAUUUUCUUUGAAAACCAUACAAAGAAAAUGUAAGAAUAAUUUCCACAAAACAAGUGGACAAAAUAAACAAGCUUUUCAACCAAAAUUUCAUAUUAAUUCAAUAAUAUAAUCUCAUUUUUAAGAAAAAGACAUCAGAUUAAAAUUUUAAUUCUUUCAUUAUUCAGACUCUGGCAUGUCAUAAAAAUUAUGACUAAUGACGGUGCAAAAAGUGUCAUUUGAAUGAAUCUUCAUUCAUGGCUAAUAUCUAGGCUCAAUCUAAUGAAGCAAACAAUAGGGCACCUGUUCCAUCUUACCAGAAGUAAGAUGUAGAUUUUUUUAUUUUUUGAAGAGGCAGAUUGAAUCACCUGUAAAAUGAAGAGAAUAGGGCACAAAAGCCAUAAUUGGCCUUCCACUCCAGCUGUUUCACCCCAAACAACAUCCAUUCUCUUGGCCUUCCCCAAGGCAAUACGAGUAUAAAGUCUUUGGCGUUGAUAUCUGU